rnacentral:lncRNA from 1 species
AUGUCUGUUGCUAGUAUUUCCCAUAUUUGGGGGAAAUUCCCAGGAGACAGCAGAUUCUGCCUGGGGGGUGAGGGCUGGGAAGUGAAAAUAGAUGGCAUAUUCCCCACUGCAAAUAAAACAGGAGGUAUGUUUUAUUGGCUAGGCAAAGCAAAAUCUUUCCUCUGGACUUCUCUGUUGUUUUGCAAUAGUGGAAUCCAAGAUGGAAGAAAGAAUGAAGCAGGAAGCAGGAGAUCGGAAGUUGUAAGUGUGCUGCGGAUGGCAUGAAGUUCUAUUUUACACCUGCUUGUGGUUGUUUUGAUAAUGGUUUUCUAACAUGAAAAUUAUAAGUUAUACUAUUUUCUAUUUCAGUGAAAUUAUAGUAAAGAUUCAAUCAUUAAAUAUUCAUUUACUCCUCUCUGUGUCAGGGGCUGUACUGUGAACACAACAUGAGGCCUUCAAGGGACAGACGUGUGAGCAAACAGUGACAGUACAAUGCGGGGGCCACAAGCUGGCAUUGACGUCCGUACAGGCUGCUCUAAGAACAGCACAGGGAAAGGCCCUCACUCAGGGAGGCGGUGCUGGGGGAGGCAUACAUGGCAAAGUAGAGGAAAGCUUCCCAGAAGCAGUGAAGAAUAUUCUAUAGAAGAGACUACAGAAGAGAAGCUAUUUACCAAGAAAAUAUCUGGGGAGAAAAAGGCAUUUAGCUAGAGGAUGCAAUCCGUGUGAGAAGCCAGGACCGUAUCUGCCAUGGCAAGGAUGAGGAGCAGCAGAUUAGAAAGGCUGGAACCUGGAAACUCUAUACUCAGGGGCGGGGAGUUGAUUCUGCUUUGUUCUCAUCCUCUACAUCUGCAUUUAUCAACAAGUCCGUUUGUUUCUACCUAAAAAAUAUCUCUGGAAUAUAGCUACUGUCGUGAAUUCCAUCUCCACUGCACCAGCUCAGUCCAAGCCACUGUCCUCUCUAACCUGAAUGACUGCAAUAGCUUCCUUAAUAAGGGUUACUUCUGCCACUUUUACUCCACUCGGAGAGGAGUUCCCUGGUGACCUCGUGAAUUAAGAAUCUGGCACGGUUACUGCCAUGGCGUGGGUUCAAUCCCUAGCCUGGGAACUUCUGCAUGCCAUGGGUAUAGCUACCAAAAAAAAUCCUUAAUAUGGUUUUGUUAAAUGUGGCUUCUAUCUGACGAGUCUUCAUCUUCCUCUUUGCUUUUAUGUUGACUGUAGUAUUUAGUCAAUUAAUUAAUUAAUUUGUGAACUUUUCACUUUCAGUUAUCCUCACUAGAUUUUUAUAGGAAAAGUCGUGCUUGUUCAUAUGAUCAGAUCAGUAUUCGGCACGGAGCAGAAAAAUAAAACAAAUAAAUAAGGAAGGAAGGAAGAGGAA